UACGUAGGCAGCAAGCGUUGUCCGGAGUUACUGGGCGUAAAGAGUGCGUAGGCGGUCCCGUAAGUUUGGUGUGAAAUCUCCCGGCUCAACUGGGAGGGUGCGCCGAAGACUGCAGGGCUUGAGUAUGGGAGAGGUAAGCGGAAUUCCUGGUGUAGCGGUGAAAUGCGUAGAUAUCAGGAGGAACACCUGUGGUGUAGACAGCUUACUGGACCAUCACUGACGCUGAGGCACGAAAGCGUGGGUAGCAAACAGG
rnacentral:rRNA from 1 species